UACGAAGGGGGGCUAGCGUUGCUCGGAUUGACUGGGCGUAAAGGGCGCGUAGGCGGUUCGUACAGUCAGACGUGAAAUUCCUGGGCUCAACCUGGGGGCUGCGUUUGAUACGUGCGGACUUGAGUGCGGAAGAGGGUCGUGGAAUUCCCAGUGUAGAGGUGAAAUUCGUAGAUAUUGGGAAGAACACCGGUGGCGAAGGCGGCGACCUGGUCCGAUCUGACGCUGAGGCGCGAAAGCGUGGGGAGCAAACAGG
rnacentral:rRNA from 1 species